AGGCAGGGAGAGGGGGCUAUCUCUAGAUCUCGAUGGAGCCCGCGUCUAUAAAUACGCAUUCAUGUCUAGUCAAGUCCCCUUUUUCAACUUCUUCCCUGCGCUGGAACCUCACCCGCUGCCUUGUAACCAUUACCUGGGCCCCUCCGCGCCCCCCACCCCCGUUUGCACCCGGUGAAGCCGGCCGGGAGGGCGCGCGCGGGGGUCUGCGGGUGUCCACGGAACCUUCUGGGAGGCGAGCCGCCGUCCGCCCAGCGCCAAGGCUGGAGCGGCGAGAGGUUGGGUUUUUAAAGCGACCAUUGCCUCCCCGAGAGCGGCUCCGCGCCCCGGGUCCCCGCCGCCGGCACUGUGCACCCACCUACUCCUGGGCGGGUAGGGGGGAGAAAAGUUUUGAGGCGUUCUCAUCUCUGCCUCCAGGGUGGUUGAACUGGUUUUGUUCUGUGUGGGUGAAGCCGAAAAUCCCAGUGCCCAGGAACUAGGGGAUGGUGCUUAGGGAUCUGAAAAGGCUCGGCGCUGGGCUUCGGCUCCUUGGGCUGCGACACGAGUCAGCGCAGGAAGGCGAGAGAGCGAGAGACCCUCGGAGUUGCAUCACCAUCCGAGGAAACUCCGUAGCUUGAUGCUGAUUUGCAUGUUCUCUGUCCUCAUCUCGGCGAUUUUCUUCGGGCGCGCAUCCAUCGACUGAGCCGCGUCCCUCGGCACCCCCAGCAUUUCCCAGAGUGCAACAACACCACCAGGAGAUCAAUGACCAGUCUGUUUAUUCUCCACGCGCCUGGAGGAGCAGGGCACUGAAGGAGCAUGGGAGGGAGGCUCCGGGCUUGCCUGUUUGCUAUCUCUCGCAGACUUUUUCUAGCUAAUUUCUAAACGGCAACCAGCAAGCGUAUAUACAGUUCCUUAAUGCACGCGACACAUACCGACCACAAUAUAUUCACCUAGAAAAGUGAUACAUCCUUCCUCCCCCUUUCCACCCUUUGGAAGUGGAUUGCUAAUACCUGAGAUUUUUGCACUUGUCUGGAGUGGAAACUUUCUGGGGUGUUGGACGAUUGAUUAUUUGGUACCUGCUUUCUAAAAAUGGCUAAACACCUUUCCUUGGAACAAAAGUGAGAAAUGCAAAUCUUAAUAACUCAAGGCAAAAAUUUCAAAGUGUAAGCACAGUUAUUAUCCACUCCCACAAAGAAAAGCUUCCUCUUCCACAAAUAUUUGAUAGCAGAGAGCCCAGUAAUUAAGAGAACAAUCAAAUAAACUCAAGGCUUUCAUGGGGACUCUAAAUUAUCAUCUGCCUAGAAUUUAUAAGCAGCACAAUCAUUUGCCAACUUGGAUGUAGCUCUGGAUAUAGCAUUCUAAAUGUGUAUCCUUAAACAAUUUUACUAUGUUUUCUUAAGAAUGUAAUGAGAGAGACCAUGGAUAAUAAUAACAUUCAAAUUGCUGGAUCAAUGUGGCCUCACCAACUGUGUGAAAAAAUUCUCUGCGUGUGUGCAUGGAACAUUGUUCCUAUACAUUACUUUUCAUCGGAUUUCUUAUAUCAUGCAAGCUUCAAGUCUGAGCCACUCGUGUAAAAAUAGAAGAGUCCAUUAAUAAUUGUACUUUACCUUGAAUUUAAGUGUAAUUUUUUUUGUAGAGAGUCGUUGGCACACAUUAAAUGAUUUAUUCUCAUGACACACAUAUGAAGUUGCUUUUCACAGUGGGCUGUUACUACCCAGGCCCUUAUAUAAUGUGCAAGAGGCAAAUCAGGCCAACUGAAAAAAAAAAAAGGCCUCUCACUACCAAUUAUAUAAAAAUAAGUAACAUUUGACAAGGGGUUGUUGUUUACAGUGAACUUCCACUUCCUCUCAGCCCCUACUCAGUGAAAAUAAAGGGACAGUGAGUCUUUUUCCCCCAGCUCUCUGGCCAAUGGGUGAUAAACGUAUAUGGCUGGCCUAACCCCACCACACCAAGGAGGGUAACAGCUUCUGGACUCAGCAGGCUUCCUACUUGCAGGAGACGGGAGGCUGAGCAGAGGGAAGAAGGGGCAAAGUUGCAAGCUGCCUGGUGAGAUAUUGGUGAAACUUGAAUUACACCAACCUCUUCUUUCUUUGCUCCUACAGGCAGCAGAACUUCCAACCACUUAUGGUUAUUGAAACCACAUGGCCUUAAGACUAACCCAUGAUCAUUAUACAGCAACGACAGAGCUGAUCAAAAACCUCCAGUGGAAUGUUUGUUUGUGUAGGGCUUAAAAAAAAAAAUACCCAUAUUUGAAGUGGGACUGACACAUGAAAGAUCAGUGUUUCCAUUUAUCAAGCAUUUACUGUGUGCCGGGCUCUUGGCCAAGUGCUCUUUUUAUGGAUUUUGUCUCUAUUUUUUACUACAUACUUGCAAAAAAAAAAAAA